rnacentral:rRNA from 1 species
GUAGGUGGCAAGCGUUGUCCGGAAUUAUUGGGCGUAAAGCGCGCGCAGGCGGUUCGUUUAAGUCUGAUGUGAAAGCCCACGGGCUCAACCGUGGAGGGUCAUUGGAAACUGGAGAACUUGAGUACAGAAGAGGAAAGCGGAAUUCCACGUGUAGCGGUGAAAUGCGUGGAGAUGUGGAGGAACACCAGUGGCGAAGGCGGCUUUCUGGUCUGUAACUGACGCUGAGGCGCGAAAGCGUGGGGAGCAAACAGGAUUAGAUACCCUGGUAGUCCACGCCGUAAACGAUGAGUGCUAAGUGUUAGGGGGGUUUCCGCCCCUUAGUGCUGCAGCUAACGCAUUAAGCACUCCGCCUGGGGAGUACGGCCGCAAGGCUG